UACGGAGGGUGCGAGCGUUGUCCGGAAUCAUUGGGCGUAAAGGGCGCGUAGGUGGCCCGGUCAGUUCGUGGUGAAAGCGCGGGGCUCAACCCUGCGUCGGCCAUGAAUACUGCCGCGGCUGGAGCACUGUAGAGGCAGGCGGAAUUCCGGGUGUAGCGGUGGAAUGCGUAGAGAUCCGGAAGAACACCGGUGGCGAAGGCGGCCUGCUGGGCAGUUGCUGACACUGAGGCGCGAAAGCGUGGGGAGCAAACGGG
rnacentral:rRNA from 1 species